AGCGAACGCUGGCGGCAGGCCUAACACAUGCAAGUCGAACGAACUCUUCGGAGUUAGUGGCGGACGGGUGAGUAACACGUGGGAACGUGCCUUUAGGUUCGGAAUAACUCAGGGAAACUUGUGCUAAUACCGAAUGUGCCCUUCGGGGGAAAGAUUUAUCGCCUUUAGAGCGGCCCGCGUCUGAUUAGCUAGUUGGUGAGGUAAAGGCUCACCAAGGCGACGAUCAGUAGCUGGUCUGAGAGGAUGAUCAGCCACAUUGGGACUGAGACACAGCCCAAACUCCUACGGGAGGCAGCAGUGGGGAAUCUUGCGCAAUGGGCGAAAGCCUGACGCAGCCAUGCCGCGUGAAUGAUGAAGGUCUUAGGAUUGUAAAAUUCUUUCACCGGGGACGAUAAUGACGGUACCCGGAGAAGAAGCCCCGGCUAACUUCGUGCCAGCAGCCGCCGUAAUAC
rnacentral:rRNA from 1 species